AUGCAUGUGUUAGUACAGACUGUACAACGGUGAAACUGCGAAUGGCUCAUUAGAUCAGUUAUGGUUCCUUAGAUCGUACAAUCCUUACUUGGAUAACUGUGGCAAUUCUAGAGCUAAUACAUGCUAACAAUGUCUGACCAAUAUUGCUUUGGAAGGACUGCUUUUAUUAGACCAAAACCAAUCGGGUACUGAGGAAGCCGUUUGCGCGGUUCUCUAAAGUCUCGUCCCUACUUUUGGUGACUCUGGAUAACUUUGUGCUGAUCGCAUGGCCUGUGAGCCGGCGACAUAUCUUUCAAAUGUCUGACCUAUCAAAUGUCGAUGGUAAGUGACCUGCUUACCAUGUUAGUAACGGGUAACGGGGAAUCAGGGUUCGAUUCCGGAGAGGGAGCAUGAGAAACGGCUACCACA
rnacentral:rRNA from 1 species